rnacentral:rRNA from 1 species
AGUGAACGCUGGCGGUAGGCCUAACACAUGCAAGUCGAACGGCAGCACAGUAAGAGCUUGCUCUUACGGGUUGCGAGUCGCGGACGGGUGAGGAAUACAUCGGAAUCUACUUUUUCGUGGGGGAUAACGUAGGGAAACUUACGCUAAUACCGCAUACGACCUACGGGUGAAAGCAGGGGAUCUUCGUACCUUGCGCGAUUGAAUGAGCCGAUGUCGGAUUAGCUAGUUGGCGGGGUAAAGGCCCACCAAGGCGACGAUCCGUAGCUGGUCUGAGAGGAUGAUAAGCCACACUGGAACUGAGACACGGUCCAGACUCCUAAGGGAGGCAGCAGUGGGGAAUAUUGGACAAUGGGCGCAAGCCUGAUCCAGCCAUACCGCGUGGGUGAAGAAGGCCUUCGGGUUGUAAAGCCCUUUUGUUGGGAAAGAAAAGCAGCAGGUUAAUACCCAGCUGUUCUGACGGUACCCAAAGAAUAAGCACCGGCUAACUUCGUG